rnacentral:rRNA from 1 species
CGGGACGGGUGAGUAAUGUCUGGGAAACUGCCUGAUGGAGGGGGAUAACUACUGGAAACGGUAGCUAAUACCGCAUAACGUCGCAAGACCAAAGAGGGGGACCUUUGGGCCUCUUGCCAUCGGAUGUGCCCAGAUGGGAUUAGCUAGUAGGUGGGGUAACGGCUCACCUAGGCGACGAUCCCUAGCUGGUCUGAGAGGAUGACCAGCCACACUGGAACUGAGACACGGUCCAG